AUGCUUAUUGCUCAUUGUUGUCAGUGUACUAUUUUUUUGUUGUUUAUUCUUACAGAUACUUUUUUUGGCAUGUUCUGUGCAUUCCAUAUUGUUUUCUAUAUGCAGCAAGUAUAUCCUGCACUUCUAAUUCAGACUUUUGGUAGUACUAUUUUUAUUGGAACCUUUACGGUAAAAUUGAAGUAACUUCGUAUGGUCAGGUCAGUUCCAUUGCUUUCGAAGGUAUAUUGGGAAUUUUCAUUUAUGUGAAAGUCAUUAUACCUUUACGGUAAAAUUGAAGUAAUUUCUUAUGGUCAGGUCAAUUCCAUUGCAAUUCGAAGGUAUAUUGGGGUUUUUCAUUUAUGUGAAAGUCAUUAUCUGAUAAAUUACAUUGCACCCAUUCUUUCUUAUUGGUUUUAGCAAAUACUAAGGGUAGC
rnacentral:lncRNA from 1 species